rnacentral:rRNA from 1 species
GAUGAACGCUGGCGGCGUGCCUAAUACAUGCCAGUCGAGCGAACAGACGAGGAGCUUGCUCCUCUGACGUUAGCGUCGGACGGGUGAGUAACACGUGGAUAACCUACCUAUAAGACUGGGAUAACUUCGGGAAACCGGAGCUAAUACCGGAUAAUAUAUUGAACCGCAUGGUUCAAUAGUGAAAGACGGUUUUGCUGUCACUUAUAGAUGGAUCCGCGCCGCAUUAGCUAGUUGGUAAGGUAACGGCUUACCAAGGCAACGAUGCGUAGCCGACCUGAGAGGGUGAUCGGCCACACUGGAACUGAGACACGGUCCAGACUCCUACGGGAGGCAGCAGUAGGGAAUCUUCAGCAAUGGGCGAAAGCCUGACGGAGCAACGCCGCGUGAGUGAUGAAGGUCUUCGGAUCGUAAAACUCUGUUAUUAGGGAAGAACAAAUGUGUAAGUAACUAUGCACGUCUUGACGGUACCUAAUCAGAAAGCCACGGCUAACUACGUG